GUCGCAGAAUUCGGUGUAACAACGGGACUCACUGCUCGAAGAUGUGACGUUCGGCUCAGCUGCACUUGGAGGUUAUGAUGCAUCACUCGAUUUUUACGGAUGAUUCAAAGCCAGAAGUCAAACGCUGCACAACUUGCUGCACACUUUUCCACUGCCCCCUAUGCCCAACUUUCAAACCAACCAUCAACACGAAGCUUCAGUGCCACCUGGAAUCCCACAUAAAACAUUCCAUUACAUUUAAAGACAAAAAGAUAUGCAGGUGCAACCUCAGCUGCAGGGAUGGGGGACAUUAUCAUUGCCCCCUUUGUGGCAAAACGAUCAUCAGGAAGUCGGUUAUGGAUCUACACCUGAAGUCCUGCACAAACACGCAAGACAGUCCCUCCACCUCCGCUGCCGUCCAUACAUCCAACCAAAACCCCAUCACAGUCAAGACAGCCACCACCUCUCCAGCUCCGACUGCUCCUUCUCCCCAAGCUUCAACUGUUGUGUCUUCCUCUGCCGUCUCUGCUGCCCAGAGUAAAAGGGCCACUUUACAACAUUGUGGCUGGAGUUGCCUGGCUGCGUAAGCAUGCAGGUUUGCUCAAGGGGAAGGUGGUCGAGCCUGCAUUUCCGAACAUGGACGCAAAAGAACAGCAGGAGCUCAUGGAAAGGAUACGUUCUUCAAGUGAUGAAGAAGAAAACUACCCCCUGCUCUUCACAUUUGACUUUCAGGAAGACAUGGAGGUCUUCCUUAACAUGGCAGCUGAGGAGGAUCUUCGGGUCAACGCCAUGUUUCUGGGUCGCUGGGUGGACAGCCAGUGACAUUGCUGUGUGUGUGUGUGUGUGUGUGUGUGUGUGUGUGUGUGUGUG